GAUCCUCUUUUGAUGGACGCGAGACCAGGUCGCAGCCCCCGCCACUCCUCCUCUACUGCGGCAGGUACGUCCGUGUACAGCGAGGUGCAGACGAGCCGCAUCGCGCACGCGGUGCCCCUCCCCUCCAUCCUCCGCUCCCACUUCACGCUCGCUGAUGGGCCUGCCAGCACCGCCGCGGGGUUACUCUUUCCUGGGAUGCGUCGCUCCCCGAUCUCGGCUUGCUGGAUCGCGGGCUUGGGCGGGUUUGAAUUCGGGAUUUCACGGUCGGCAUUCCCCUGCUCCAGGCUGUGGUCGCAGCCCUGCUGCUGGAUGAUGUAAGCUGGUGUUUGAGAUUGCGGCCGCCAAACAGACAACACGGACGCCGCUGCCGCCCGCUGCUCCUCAUCGUGUGCACCUACGAAGCUGCUGCUAAUUAAGGAGGAACGCUCACGAAGGUGCACCCAACACGUGUUUGCGGCGGUUGUGAAGGCAGGAGAAGAUGUGGAUGGGUUCUCACCAAGUUUCUGUGGCUCACGGUGUUCAUCCGACUCUCUAACUAGAAGAUGAGUUACCAUGACUUCUACAUCAAAGGUUGGGUUUUUUAGCAGUUUGUUGGUGCGUGCCUACUUACUAAUUUGAUUUGAUAAUUCAACCAAGGGAACUGCCGAUAGGGUGUGAAUGAAGUUGUUAAUAUGAUUUCUUUCGUGUGUGUCCUACUGAUAGAUCUCUAAACUUGCAUUUCUCUACUAUUGUUGUCUAUGAGAGCUGUUGUGGUGGAUAAGGCCAACCUGCACCGAUGUAAACUUCAGAUUGAGCUUACAACAUGGCGAGGGAUAACCUUGAUUUCUGCAUGAGUUACAUCUUGUAAUGGUACUUCUUUCAGCAACUACUUUCGAAGGUCUGCUACUGUCAUUUCAUGGUGCGCUUUUCUUUUGAAAAUUGUCGAAGGAAACCAAGGCAGAAAACAAUUGCCCGUGAACUGAUGCUAGAAAUGCAGGAAAUUUGUCACCGUGAUCUUAAACUGUAAAGGACUCUCUUGGAUGAGAGUCCAACAUCUCGUGGGAAAGUUUGCAACUUUGGGUACUCAAAGGUGCUAAUAGUUAUGUUAUGUAUAAUGUA